rnacentral:rRNA from 1 species
AUUGAACGCUGGCGGCAGGCCUAACACAUGCAAGUCGAGCGGAAACGAUCCUAGCUUGCUAGGAGGCGUCGAGCGGCGGACGGGUGAGUAACGCGUGAGAAUCUACCCAUGAGUGGGGGACAACCCGGGGAAACUCGGGCUAAUACCGCAUACGCCCUACGGGGUAAAGCAGGGGACCUUCGGGCCUUGCGCUGAUGGAUGAGCUCGCGUCGGAUUAGCUUGUUGGUGAGGUAAAGGCUCACCAAGGCGACGAUCCGUAGCUGGUCUGAGAGGAUGAUCAGCCACGCCGGGACUGAGACACGGCCCGGACUCCUACGGGAGGCAGCAGUGGGGAAUCUUGGACAAUGGGGGCAACCCUGAUCCAGCCAUGCCGCGUGUGUGAAGAAGGCCUUCGGGUUGUAAAGCACUUUCAGCAGGGAGGAAGGCUUACCCCUAAUACGGGUGAGUACUUGACGUUACCUGCAGAAGAAGCACCGGCUAAUUUCGUG